AGCACGGCUUGAACCAUAGCUCCAUGAGCUCAUCAGAUCACAAAAGUUAAGCAGCAUCAGGCCUGGUCAGCACUAAGAUGGGAGAUCUCCAAAGAGAAGAGAGAGGACGUGUGU
rnacentral:rRNA from 1 species